rnacentral:rRNA from 1 species
UGGGGAAUUUUGGACAAUGGGCGCAAGCCUGAUCCAGCCAUGCCGCGUGUCUGAAGAAGGCCUUCGGGUUGUAAAGGACUUUUGUCAGGGAAGAAAAGGCUGUUGCUAAUAUCAGCGGCUGAUGACGGUACCUGAAGAAUAAGCACCGGCUAACUACGUGCCAGCAGCCGCGGUAAUACGUAGGGUGCAAGCGUUAAUCGGAAUUACUGGGCGUAAAGCGAGCGCAGACGGUUACUUAAGCAGGAUGUGAAAUCCCCGGGCUCAACCUGGGAACUGCGUUCUGAACUGGGUGACUAGAGUGUGUCAGAGGGAGGUAGAAUUCCACGUGUAGCAGUGAAAUGCGUAGAGAUGUGGAGGAAUACCGAUGGCGAAGGCAGCCUCCUGGGAUAACACUGACGUUCAUGCUCGAAAGCGUGGGUAGCAAACAGGAUUAGAUACCCUGGUAGUCCACGCCCUAAACGAUGUCAAUUAGCUGUUGGGCAACUUGAUUGUUCAGUAGCGUAGCUAACGCGUGAAAUUGACCGCCUGGGGAGUACGGUCGCAAGAUUA